UUACAUGGUUGGUGGGGGUUAACAGUGAUCAAAGGUGGAAUGGUGUUUUGGGGUUGAUUGUCUUUGAUUAAAUACUUGUUGGUGGUGUUUCUACUAAAGUUCCUACUCAAAGCGUAGAUAAUACACGGAAGUCAGGCCCAGCCACGGGUAUAAUGGUGAUUUAUAACCCUACCACGGGGUGAA